AGUGAACGCUGGCGGUAGGCCUAACACAUGCAAGUCGAACGGCAGCACAGUAAGAGCUUGCUCUUACGGGUGGCGGGUGGCGGACGGGUGAGGAAUACAUCGGAAUCUACUUUUUCGUGGGGGAUAACGUAGGGAAACUUACGCUAAUACCGCAUACGACCUACGGGUGAAAGCAGGGGAUCUUCGGACCUUGCGCGAUUGAAUGAGCCGAUGUCGGAUUAGCUAGUUGGCGGGGUAAAGGCCCACCAAGGCGUCGAUCCGUAGCUGGUCUGAGAGGAUGAUCAGCCACACUGGAACUGAGACACGGUCCAGACUCCUACGGGAGGCAGCAGUGGGGAAUAUUGGACAAUGGGCGCAAGCCUGAUCCAGCCAUACCGCGUGGGUGAAGAAGGCCUUCGGGUUGUAAAGCCCUUUUGUUGGGAAAGAAAAGCAGCAGGUUAAUACCCCGCUGUUCUGACGGUACCCAAAGAAUAAGCACCGGCUAACUUCGUG
rnacentral:rRNA from 1 species